rnacentral:lncRNA from 10 species
GAACUAGCAGAGGGCAUUCAAUGCCUGGAUCCCUUGAAUGGUCACCUUAGAGACAUCCCUGCCUGUGAACAGACACUUGAUUAGCCUUAGGCAGUCCUGUGCAUCACAGCCUUCUGCAAUACCUGCCAGAUCAUCUACAGAAGCUAGGGUGAAAACCCAGGGUAUUAUAUCCUUAGAAUUUAUUUCUACCAGAAAGUUGCCACUUUAUAUAUUCUGCCAACAAGCUUGCUUGCAAGAGGAGAAGCCACUAUUAUUCCCGAGUCAGUGGCAUGAACACGUGGACUGCAGAGAUAACUGAGGUAAUAGGAAUGCGUGGAGACGUUAUUCCACAGGAGCUCUUCUUUUACCU